rnacentral:rRNA from 1 species
UACGUAGGUGGCAAGCGUUGUCCGGAAUUAUUGGGCGUAAAGCGCGCGCAGGUGGUUCCUUAAGUCUGAUGUGAAAGCCCACGGCUCAACCGUGGAGGGUCAUUGGAAACUGGGGAACUUGAGUGCAGAAGAGGAAAGUGGAAUUCCAAGUGUAGCGGUGAAAUGCGUAGAGAUUUGGAGGAACACCUGCGGCGAAGGCGGGUUGCUGGGCUGACACUGACGCUGAUGCGCGAAAGCCAGGGGAGCGAACGGG